rnacentral:rRNA from 1 species
GAUGAACGCUGGCGGCGUGCCUAAUACAUGCAAGUCGAGCGAACAGACGAGGAGCUUGCUCCUUCGACGUUAGCGGCGGACGGGUGAGUAACACGUAGGUAACCUACCUAUAAGACUGGGAUAACUUCGGGAAACCGGAGCUAAUACCGGAUAAUAUUUCGAACCGCAUGGUUCGAUAGUGAAAGAUGGCUUUGCUAUCACUUAUAGCUGGACCUGCGCCGUAUUAGCUAGUUGGUAAGGUAACGGCUUACCAAGGCAACGAUACGUAGCCGACGUGAGAGAGGGGUCGGCCACAUGGGAGGUGAGACGCGGUCCAGAGGACUGCGGGAGGCAGCAGUAUGGAAUGGGACGCAGUGGGCGGGAGCCUGACAGAGCAACGCCGCGUGAGUGAUGAAGGUCUUCGGAGCGGAAAACUCGGUUAUUGGUGAAGAACAGACGUGGAAGUAGAUGAGCACGGCGUGACGGUACCGAAUCAAAAAGCCACGGCUAACUACGUG